UACGAACCGUGCGAGCGUUGUUCGGAAUCACUGGGCAUAAAGGGCGCGUAGGCGGCUUAUCAAGUCAGGGGUGAAAUCCGGCAGCUCAACUGUCGAAGUGCCUUUGAUACUGAUGAGCUCGAGGGAGGUAGGGGUAUGCGGAACUUCCGGUGGAGCGGUGAAAUGCGUUGAGAUCGGAAGGAACGCCCGUGGCGAAAGCGAGGUCCUGGACGCCUACUGACGCUGAGACGCGAAAGCCAGGGGAGCGAACGGG
rnacentral:rRNA from 1 species